GACGAACGCUGGCGGCGCGCUUAACACAUGCAAGUCGAACGGAAAGGCCUGCUUUCCCUUGUGGAUUGCGGGUACUCGAGUGGCGAACGGGUGAGUAACACGUGAGUGAUCUGCCCCCAACUUGGGUAUAAGCCUGGGAAACUGGGUCUAAUUCCCGAUAGGACUGCAGGGUGGUGCCUGUGGUGGAAAACGAUUUUCUAGUGGUUGGGGAUGAGCUCGCGGCCUAUCAGCUUGUUGGUGGGGUAAUGGCCUACCAAGGCGGGGACGGGGAGCCGGCCUGAGAGGAGGGACGGUGACAUUGGGACUGGGAUACGACCCCUACGCCUACGGGCGGCGGCAGUUAUUAAUAUAGCGCAGCGAGCGGGAUCCUGCUGUAGCGAGUGCGCGUGGAAGAUGUUGGCCUUCGGGAGGUAAUCUCCUUUCGACGGCGAGGAAGCCAUCUGGUUGGAAGGGUGGUGACGGUAGUGGUAGAAGAAGCACCGGCUAACUACGUG
rnacentral:rRNA from 1 species